GAUGAAGAACGCAGCGAAAUGCGAUAAGUAAUGUGAAUUGCAGAUUUCAGUGAAUCAUCGAAUCUUUGAACGCACCUUGCGCCUUGUGGUAUUCCACAAGGCAUGCCCGUUUGAGUAUCAUUAAAUCAUCAACUCUAAAAACUUUGUGUUUUUUUGAGCUUGGUCUUGAGGGUUUUUUGCAGGCGGUUCCGUCUGCUCCCUUUAAAUGCAUUAGCGAGACUUCCCUGUGCUUAACCGUCUCUUUGACGUGAUAAUUAUCUACGUUGAAUUUGGUUCUCGUUGGGCUUGCUUCUAACCGUCCGUGAUUUUGGACAAACCAGGAUUUGGGUGCAUAUAUGCGCCUUUUUUCUAAACCUUUUUUGAUCUCAAAUCGGGUAGGACUACCCGCUGAACUUAAGCAUAUCAAUAAGCGGAGGA
rnacentral:misc_RNA from 1 species